rnacentral:rRNA from 1 species
GAUGAACGCUAGCUACAGGCUUAACACAUGCAAGUCGAGGGGAAACGACAUCGAAAGCUUGCUUUUGGUGGGCGUCGACCGGCGCACGGGUGAGUAACGCGUAUCCAACCUGCCCACCACUUGGGGGAUAACCUUGCGAAAGUAAGACUAAUACCCAAUGAUAUCCCACGAAGGCAUCCGAAUGGGAUUAAAGAUUUAUCGGUGAUGGAUGGGGAUGCGUCUGAUUAGCUUGUUGGCGGGGUAACGGCCCACCAAGGCGACGAUCAGUAGGGGUUCUGAGAGGAAGGUCCCCCACAUUGGAACUGAGACACGGUCCAAACUCCUACGGGAGGCAGCAGUGAGGAAUAUUGGUCAAUGGGCGAGAGCCUGAACCAGCCAAGUAGCGUGCAGGAUGACGGCCCUAUGGGUUGUAAACUGCUUUUAUAAGGGAAUAAAGUGGGUCACGUGUGACUUUUUGCAUGUACCUUAUGAAUAAGGACCGGCUAAUUCCGUG